rfam:Flavobacterium fluvii strain DSM 19978 genome assembly, contig: Ga0131141_106
AUAAAGUGGAAACUAGUAACCACUAUAAAAAACAGGGUAGAACUGAAAAACCAUAAGAGUAGGCAAAAU